UAAGCGGAGGAGAAGAAACUAACCAGGAUUUCCCUAGUAACGGCGAGCGAACCGGAAAGAGCCCAGCUUGAAAAUCGUGGUGCCUCGUACCUCGAGUUGUAGUCUGGAGAAGGUCCCUCUGCGACGCGCCGGACCCAAGUUCCCUGGAAAGGGACGUCAUCGAGGGUGACAACCCCGUCCGCGCCCGGAAGGCGUCGCUCCACGAGGACCUGUCUGCGAGUCGGGCUGUUUGGGAAUGCAGCCCUAAUCCGGUGGUAAAUUCCAUCGAAGGCUAAAUAUGGGCAAGAGACCGAUAGCGAACAAGUACCGCGAGGGAAAGAUGAAAAGGACUUUGAAAAGAGAGUUAAAAAGUGCUUGAAAUUGCUGGGAGGGAAGCGAAUGGAAGCUGCGGGUGCGCCCCGGUUGGAUGUGGAACGGCUUCGGCUGGUCCGCCGCUCAACGCGGGGCGCUGGUCAGCGUGGGCCGCGGCGCCGGGACAAGAGCGGGGAUUCGCUUCCCGCCUAUGCCGGUGCGGUGGCCGAGGAACGAAGCGCGCGCCUCUCUUUGGCGUGGGUUCGCCCAACUGCGCGCUCGGGACGCUGGCGUAUUGAGCUCUUCAUCCGACCCGUCUUGAAACACGGACCAAGGAGUCUAACAUGUAUGCGAGCCGGUGGGCGGCAAACCCAUUGAGGCGCAAGUAAACUGACAGGUGGGACCCCGACCGCAAGGGAGGGAGCACCAUCGACCGACCGUGAUCUUCUGUGAAAGGUUUGAGUGGGAGCAUACCUGUUGGGACCCGAAAGAUGGUGAACUAUGCCUGAGCAGGGCGAAGCCAGAGGAAACUCUGGUGGAGGCUCGUAGCGAUACUGACGUGCAAAUCGUUCGUCAGACUUGGGUAUAGGGGCGAAAGACUAAUCGAACCAUCUAGUAGCUGGUUCCCUCCGAAGUUUCCCUCAGGAUAGCUGGAGCUCGUGUACAAGUUUUAUCAGGUAAAGCGAAUGAUUAGAGGCAUCGGGGGUGUAACACCCUCGACCUAUUCUCAAACUUUAAAUAGGUAAGCCGCCGGGGUUGCUUGGUUGAACCCCGGCACAGAAUGAGAGCUCCAAGUGGGCCAU
rnacentral:rRNA from 1 species